CGCACAAGCAGUGGAUCAUGUGGUUCAAUUCGACUCUAACCGAGGAACCUCACCAAGGUUUGAAACUCAGCUGCAUACUCUGGAAACAGAGUAGCCUUCGAGGGUGCUGAGCAGGUGCUGCACGGCUGUCGUCAGCUCGUCACGUGAGUGGUCUCCUUAAGUGGAUUAACGAGCGCAACCCGCAUCGUCUGUUACAAGUGUCAGACGAAACUGCUUUCGUAAGAAAGAGGAAGGUGCGGACGACGUCAAGUCAGCGUGGCCCUCUGAUACCUUGGGCUACACACAUGAUACAAUGGAUGUUACAAUGGGUCGCCAAACCGCGAGGUGGAGCUAAUCCCAUCAAAGGCAUCCCCAGUUCGGAUAGGAGGCUGAAACUUGCCUCCUUGAAGCCGGAAUUGCUAGUAAUCGCAGAUCAGCAUGCUGCGGUGAAUACGUUCUCGAAUUUUGCACUCACUGCCCGUCAAGUCAAGGGAGUCGGUAAUACCUGAAGACCCAUAUUAUACAUGGGGACACGGUAGGAUCGAUGACAGGGACUAAGUCGUAACAAGGCAAGGGUAGCGGAAGCUGCUCUUGGAUCACCUCCUU
rnacentral:rRNA from 1 species